rnacentral:rRNA from 1 species
GACGAACGCUGGCGGCGUGCUUAACACAUGCAAGUCGAACGGAAAGGCCCUGCUUUUGUGGGGUGCUCGAGUGGCGAACGGGUGAGUAACACGUGAGUAACCUGCCCUUGACUUUGGGAUAACUUCAGGAAAAUGGGGCUAAUACCCGGUAGGAGCUCCUGCUGCAUGGUGGGGGUUGGAAAGUUUCGGCGGUUGGGGAUGGUUUGGCGGGUUCUCAGCUGGUUGGUGGGGUAGUUGCUUACCAAGGGUUUGACGGGUAGCCGGCGUGGGAGGUUGACCGGCCACAUUGGGACUGCGAUACGGACCAGACUCCUACGGGAGGCAGCAGUGGGGAAUAUUGCACAAUGGGCGGAAGCCUGAUGCAGCAACGCCGCGUGCGGGAUGCCGUCCUUCGGGGUGUAAACCGCUUUCGCAUGUGACGUAGCGUGAGUGACGGUAAUGGGUAAAGAAGCACCGGCUAACUACGUG